rnacentral:lncRNA from 1 species
ACGUGAACCGACCGAGAUAGGUCAAUGUACGGAAGGUAACGAACGACCAAACAGGUCACCGAUGCAAACAGGAGAACCGACCAACCAGGUCACAAGUAUAGUAUAUACGAAUGCCAUCUACUCUACCCCUAUACAGGAUACUACACAUAGAACAACCAGGCAGAGUAAAUAAGGAUAGUAUGUAGAUACUGCUCGAUGUCAACUAAAAGUACGAACGCAAGAACCGACCGAUAGGUCACAGGAGUGUAUUCGAUAUAGUUCAGAACUACCGUCAGCACCAGCCGACAAUCCUACCCCUCAGGGUACACCGACCUCAAAGGUCAUCGAACAACAGAAGGCAAGAAACAGACCAACCCAAUACAUAAUGCAACAACCGACCAAUCAGGUCAACAGAUAUAAGAUAACAGCACCGAUCAACUAGGUCACCGAAACGAAGUACGAGAACCGACCAAUCAGGUCACCGGAACAAAGUACGAGAAUCGACCAAUCAGGUCACCGGAACAAAGUACGAGAAUCGACCAAUCAGGUCACCGGAACAAAGUACGAGAACCGACCAAUCAGGUCACCGAUAUCACAUAUGGAUAAACUACUCUACUCCUACAC